rnacentral:tRNA from 1 species
GCCCGGGGGGCUCAGUCGGUUGAGCGUCUGACUUCGGCUCAGGUCGUGACCUCGUGGUUUGUGGGUUCGAGCCCCCCAUCGGGCU